CUUGCACCUGAUGGCGAGUGGCGAACGGGUGAGUAAUGCAUCGGGAACGUGCCCAAUCGUGGGGAUAACGCAGCGGAAAGCUGUGCUAAUACCGCAUACCGAUCUACGGAUGAAAGCGGGGGAACCUUCGGGCCUUCGCGCGAUUGGAAGCGGCCGAUGUUAGAUUAGGUAGUUGGUGGGGUAAAAGGCUCACCAAGCCGACGAUCUAUAGCUGGUCUGAGAGACGACCAGCCACACUGGAACUGAGACACGGUCCAGACUCC
rnacentral:rRNA from 1 species